UACGAAGGGGGCUAGCGUUGCUCGGAAUCACUGGGCGUAAAGCGCACGUAGGCGGCUUUUUAAGUCAGGGGUGAAAUCCUGGAGCUCAACUCCAGAACUGCCUUUGAUACUGGGAAGCUUGAGUCCGGGAGAGGUGAGUGGAACUCCGAGUGUAGAGGUGAAAUUCAUAGAUAUUCGGAAGAACACCAGUGGCGAAGGCGGCUCACUGGCCCGGUACUGACGCUGAGGUGCGAAAGCGUGGGGAGCAAACAGG
rnacentral:rRNA from 1 species